rnacentral:rRNA from 1 species
UGGGGAAUUUUGGACAAUGGGGGAAACCCUGAUCCAGCCAUCCCGCGUGUGCGAUGAAGGCCUUCGGGUUGUAAAGCACUUUUGGCAGGAAAGAAACGUCGCGGGUUAAUACCCCGCGAAACUGACGGUACCUGCAGAAUAAGCACCGGCUAACUACGUGCCAGCAGCCGCGGUAAUACGUAGGGUGCAAGCGUUAAUCGGAAUUACUGGGCGUAAAGCGUGCGCAGGCGGUUCGGAAAGAAAGAUGUGAAAUCCCAGAGCUUAACUUUGGAACUGCAUUUUUAACUACCGGGCUAGAGUGUGUCAGAGGGAGGUGGAAUUCCGCGUGUAGCAGUGAAAUGCGUAGAUAUGCGGAGGAACACCGAUGGCGAAGGCAGCCUCCUGGGAUAACACUGACGCUCAUGCACGAAAGCGUGGGGAGCAAACAGGAUUAGAUACCCUGGUAGUCCACGCCCUAAACGAUGUCAACUAGCUGUUGGGGCCUUCGGGCCUUGGUAGCGCAGCUAACGCGUGAAGUUGACCGCCUGGGGAGUACGGUCGCAAGAUUAAAACUCAAAUGAAUUGACGGGGUCGAUANCUGGUUUUCC